GAUCCUGGCUCAGGAUGAACGCUAGCUACAGGCUUAACACAUGCAAGUCGAGGGGCAGCAUGGUCUUAGCUUGCUAAGGCCGAUGGCGACCGGCGCACGGGUGAGUAACGCGUAUCCAACCUGCCCACCACUUGGGGAUAACCUUGCGAAAGUAAGACUAAUACCCAACUGAUAUCUCUAGAAGACAUCUGAAGAAGAUUAAAGAAUUAUUCGGUUGGUAUGGAGUGGGGAGGUGCGGU
rnacentral:rRNA from 1 species